rnacentral:rRNA from 1 species
GACGAACGCUGGCGGCGUGCUUAACACAUGCAAGUCGAACGAUGAAGCCGGAGCUUGCUCCGGUGGAUUAGUGGCGAACGGGUGAGUAACACGUGAGCAAUCUGCCCUUGACUCUGGGAUAACUGCGGGAAACUGUAGCUAAUACCGGAUACGACACCUUGGGGCAUCCCAGGGGGUGGAAAGAAUUUCGGUCAAGGAUGAGCUCGCGGCCUAUCAGCUAGGUGGUGCGGUAAUGGCUCACCAAGGCGACGACGGGUAGCCGGCCUGAGAGGGUGACCGGCCACACUGGAACUUAGACACGGUCCAGACUCCGACGGGAGGCAGCAGUGGGGAAUAUUGCACAAUGGGCGAAAGCCUGAUGCAGCAACGCCGCGUGAGGGAUGAAGGCCUUCGGGUUGUAAACCUCUUUUAGCAGGGAAGAAGCGAAAGUGACGGUACCUGCAGAAAAAGCACCGGCUAACUACGUGCCAGCCGCCGCGGUAA